rnacentral:miRNA from 1 species
AACUAUUUUUAAGUUGACCGAGAA